GUCUUGAAUAUGAUUAUGUGGUGGUCACGAUUACCUCUCGCUCUGAGCCUUACUCUUUGGCUGAUGUUGGUGCCUUGUUGUUGGCUCAUGAGAGUCGUAUUGAACAGUACUUUGUUAAUUCGGAUGGCACCACACCUGCUGCAAAUCUGACUUAUCAGCAGCGAAAAGGAUAUGAAAAUUUCUCACAGAGAUCUUCACAAACAACUGGUCAGCAAUAUACUCAAAGUGGUCAGUUUGGAAACAACUGGGGACGAGGUCGUGGCAGACGUAACAGUGGCCGUUCUUGGGGUAGAAACUCACGUCCUCAAUGUUAGCUAUGCUGGAAAUAUGGUCACACUAUUCAGUAGUGCUAUCAUCGUUUUGAUGCGAAUUUCACUGGCUUUAACAACAAUAAUGCAAGUUACAACAAUGUUGGUUCAAACUCACCAACGGUUGCAGUGGCCUCCACUACUCCAGAUUUGCUCACAGAAGAAGGAUGGUUUCCAGACUCAGGUGCAACCAACCACGUCACUAAUGACUUGAACAAUCUAUCUAUUGGUGCUGAAUAUCUUGGCUCCAACAAGCUGCUCAUGGGUAACGGUAAAGGACCGAGCCACGGGAGCAGCUCUUCUACAGGGAAUACUAAUGUGAUGCACUCCAUAAAUUAGAGGAAAUCAUUUGUAAUGGUGCUUUAAACACAGUUUCUGACUGAGAAAAAGGCAAACGAUGAUUCUUUUCAAAUUGACAAGGUGUGCAAAAUUGAAAUUAUCAUUGAUUGAAA